UCGGACAAGAUGAGGCUGACUCGAUACCCUUGCAGGGAGAUGAUGAAAAGAGUCUGACUAUGCAUUACAUGGAAGUAAGGAUUAAUACACGACAGAGAUGAUGAGUCAACACACAAUAAAGCUUCAACUCCUUAAACCAAUGCAAAAUUAUUCUUUCAUACAGAAGCAUAUGAAAUAAACGAACUCCUUGAAAAGAGAACUAAAACAAAAUCGAUACUGAUCAAAACAAGAAUGAAAAGAAAAUAACUCCUUGAAAUCAUAGAAGCAGACAAAACCAAACUUGACAAAAUCCAAAAAUGAUGCAAUCUAAUCACAUGAUUUCUAAGAAAACUAAAACAAAAUCGAUACACGAUAAAACUGGACCAUUAAAAAUUCAUGAGGGACUAAAGAAUCAACAUGCUAUACGAGAAGAACAAACAGAGUACUAAUCAUAGACCAAGGAUUCAAGCUUAGGACGACAAAGAAAAAACAACAUAACCAAGAGCUCUUAAAACACAAAUGAUUAAUGUCGAAGUAAACUGAUUUUUCCUUCCACUUGUUUACACAUAGACAAAGGUAGCACGAAAAGAAAACCUGACAGCAAGGUUGUAGAUCAAGUUAAAAGACAAAUUUUAUCAAGUCGAGAACAAGAUAUCAUGAGUUAAAGCCGAAAUAGACAUGGAUAGCAUUCAAGUUGUGCGAGAACAAAAAUCAACCCUACGAGACUAAGCUAACAUAUAUGAGAAUCAAAAACGAAAGUGAAGACAACCAAGACUAGGAAUAAACAAUGAAGAAACAAAAUGUGCAACCAGUGCACUCAAAAUCACCACCAAACGAGCAAAACCAGACAGAGAUUUAGCUAGCUUUAUAGAUAUGAAAUCGAGCCAACGAAUCUAUACAAUACCAAAGGAGCUUCAUUCUCAUGCUUACAGCCCAUAGAUUUACAAGAAAACGACACUAAGAAAACAGUAAACGAGGAACCAAAUACAUUUAGCAGUAGAACCUUUACCAAAAUAUAACAACCAUAUUGAAACGGAAUACCAGAGGAGGCAAAAUUACCUUUCUGAGUUGCCGGAGACGACUCUACCACAACCACGUGAAAAGAAACUCGAUGAAAGAUUCAGGCGAAAGGAGAGCAGAGAGCUUAAGACGAGAACUCGAGAUUCUAGAGAAUCGAAAUUCUUCUUUAUAAACCUAUAUGCCUGUAUUCUUUUGCUUCUCUAACGUAUUUUCUCCUUUUUUCAACAGUGAACGAACAAAAGCAUUUAUAGUGGGAGAACGGAAUCGAUUUGAAUUCGAAAUUCGAAUUCCAAGAUUGACAACCAAGAAUUCAAACGGUCCAAUUUCAAGAGAAUAAGGAGUGAGUGGUGAGAUUUCAACACCUAGCCAUUGUCACAACGGUCUUGUCCGCGCGAUUGAUGGGCUGAAUCGCGAAGAAGAAGACGAGUACGGAUGGAUCGUCUUUUGCACGCGAGGAAGAAGAAUG
rnacentral:lncRNA from 1 species